rnacentral:SRP_RNA from 1 species
GCUAGGCAUGGUGGCACAUGCCUGUAAUCCCAGCUACUAGGGAGGCUGAGGCAGGAGGAUCACUUGAGCCCUGGAGGUCUAGGCUGCAGUGAGCUAUGACUGCACCACUGCACUCCAGCCUGGGCGACAGAGUGAGACCCUGUCUCAA